UACUAGUGGUCCGGUAAAACUCCUGGCCCUACUCCAGUGGUCCGGUAAAACUCCUGGCCCUAUUCUAGUGAUGAUCAUAAUGUAAUUCAGUGACUGACGUGACUGUAGCUCCCGGAGAGCCGGUGAACAGCAACGUUGAGCCGUUAUCUAACGUGGAUUUAAUGUUCAUGCUCCUCAGAACGGGCGGUCACACUGGGAAAAGCCUUUUCAUUGGUUCAUUUGCAACCUUGCACAGCUUACAACCAAUGAAACGGCUUCCUUUCUGACGAAGUGUCUUGUUGUUGUUGCGGUGAGCAGUGUGAACAGACUCUGAAACUGUCGUUCCCAUUGGGGGAUGUUGCAGGAACUGGUUAGGGACGAGUCGUGUCCCGCUGACAGAGAGGCAGUGUGAGCUGCCGGGGUUGUGUGAGUACCUGGACAGACAGGAUGAGGCCUACCACACCUUCAGAGAUGCACUGUGGGAGUUCCUACACAGGACCAGGACCACAGGCAGGUGUUUUACAGCAGGGCCCUGGUCCGCCUCAGUGGCAACGUUCAGCAUUUAUAAAGUUGUUAAAGUUUAUGUGGGAACACACUGGUACGCCACUUACUACAAAACCCUGUUAAAGGUACGGUGACACUCCUGUUCCCUCCUUCACAGUCUCUGGAAUCAGCUCAAACUACAGACAAGAGGGGUUAUAUUUGAACUUGAUUUAUUAUUUUACUAGGCAAGUCAGUUAAGAACAAAUGUUUAUUUACAAUGAUGGCCUACUGGGGAACAGUGGGUUAACUGAGGUGCAGUAAGUAGGACAGUAGUAGCAGACCUACAGUAUAGGGGGAGGUGCAGUAAGUAGAACAGUAGUAGCAGACAUACAGUAUAGGGGGAGGUGCAGUAAGUAGAACAGUAGUAGCAGACAUACAGUAUAGGGGGAGGUGCAGUAAGUAGGACAGUAGCAGACAUACAGUAUAGGAGGAGGUGCAGUAAGUAGGACAGUAGCAGACAUACAGUAUAGGGGGAGGUGCAGUAAGUAGGACAGUAGUAGCAGACAUACAGUAUAGGGGGAGGUGCAGUAAGUACAGUAUAGGGGGAGGUGCAGUAAUUAGGACAGUAGAAGCAGACCUACAGUAUAGGAGGAGGUGCAAUAAGUAGGACAGUAGUAACAGACCUACAGUAUAGAGGGAGGUGCAGGAAGUAGGACAGUAGCAGACAUACAGUAUAGGGGGAGGUGCAGUAAGUACAGUAUAGGGGGAGGUGCAGUAAUUAGGACAGUAGAAGCAGACCUACAGUAUAGGAGGAGGUGCAGUAAGUAGGACAGUAGUAACAGACCUACAGUAUAGAGGGAGGUGCAGUAAGUAGGACAGUAGCAGACAUACAGUAUAGGGGGAGGUGCAGUAAGUAGGACAGUAGUAGCAGACCUACAGUAUAGGGGGAGGUGC